rnacentral:rRNA from 1 species
CGGAGGAUCCAAGCGUUCGUCCGGAUUUAUUGGGUUUAAAGGGUGCGUAGGCGGGUUAUUAAGUCAGUGGUGAAAGCCGGCAGCUCAACUGUCGAACUGCCAUUGAAACUGAUAGCCUAGAAUAUAGUAGAGGUAGGCGGAAUGUAUCAUGUAGCGGUGAAAUGCUUAGAUAUGAUACAGAACACCAAUUGCGAAAGCAGCUUACUAUGCUAUUAUUGACGCUGAGGCACGAAAGCGUGGGGAUCAAACAGGAUUAGAUACCCUGGUAGUCCACGCUGUAAACGUUGAAUACUCGAUGUUGGCGAUACACUGUCAGCGUCCAAGAGAAAUCGUUAAGUAUUCCACCUGGGGAGUACGCUCGCAAGAGUG